rnacentral:rRNA from 1 species
CUGAGUACGGCGGAACACGUGAAAUUCCGUCGGAAUCCGGGAGGACCAUCUCCCAAGGCUAAAUACUCCCUAGUGACCGAUAGUGAACCAGUACCGUGAGGGAAAGGUGAAAAGCACCCCGGAAGGGGAGUGAAACAGUUCCUGAAACCGUGUGCCUACAAGUAGUUAGAGCCCGUUAAUGGGUGAUAGCGUGCCUUUUGUAGAAUGAACCGGCGAGUUACGAUUUGUUGCAAGGUUAAGCGGAAAAAGCGGAGCCGUAGCGAAAGCGAGUCUGAAUAGGGCGCAUAAGUAACAGGUCGUAGACCCGAAACCAGGUGAUCUACCCAUGUCCAGGAUGAAGGUAAGGUAAUACUUACUGGAGGUCCGAACCCACGCACGUUGAAAAGUGCGGGGAUGAGGUGUGGGUAGCGGAGAAAUUCCAAUCGAACUUGGAGAUAGCUGGUUCUCUCCGAAAUAGCUUUAGGGCUAGCCUCGAGGUAAAGAGUCAUGGAGGUAGAGCACUGUUUGGACUAGGGGCCCUUCUCGGGUUACCGAAUUCAGAUAAACUCCGAAUGCCAUGUACUUAUACUCGGGAGUCAGACUGCGAGUGAUAAGAUCCGUAGUCGAAAGGGAAACAGCCCAGACCACCAGUUAAGGUCCCCAAAUAUAUGUUAAGUGGAAAAGGAUGUGGGGUUGCUUAGACAACCAGGAUGUUGGCUUAGAAGCAGCCACCAUUGAAAGAGUGCGUAAUAGCUCACUGGUCGAGUGACCCCGCGCCGAAAAUGUACCGGGGCUAAACAUAUUACCGAAACUGUGGAUGAACCUCUUUAGAGGUUCGUGGUAGGAGAGCGUUCUAAGGGCGGUGAAGUCAGACCGGAAGGACUGGUGGAGCGCUUAGAAGUGAGAAUGCCGGUAUGAGUAGCGAAAGAAGGGUGAGAAUCCCUUCCACCGAAUAUCUAAGGUUUCCUGAGGAAGGCUCGUCCGCUCAGGGUUAGUCGGGACCUAAGCCGAGGCCGAUAGGCGUAGGCGAUGGACAACAGGUAGAGAUUCCUGUACCAGUGCUAAUUGUUUAACCGAUGGGGUGACACAGAAGGAUAGGGAAUCGCACGAAUGGAAAUGUGCGUCCAAGCAGUGAGUGUGAGAAGUAGGCAAAUCCGCUUCUCGCGAAGCAUGAGCUGUGAUGGGGAAGGAAAUUAAGUACGGAAGUUCCUGAUUUCACGCUGUCAAGAAAAGCCUCUAGGAAGAGUAGUACUGCCCGUACCGCAAACCGACACAGGUAGAUGAGGAGAGAAUCCUAAGGUGAGCGAGAGAACUCUCGUUAAGGAACUCGGCAAAAUGACCCCGUAACUUCGGGAGAAGGGGUGCUCUAUUAGGGUGCAAGCCCGAGAGAGCCGCAGUGAAUAGGCCCAGGCGACUGUUUAGCAAAAACACAGGUCUCUGCAAAACCGUAAGGUGACGUAUAGGGGCUGACGCCUGCCCGGUGCUGGAAGGUUAAGAGGAGUGCUUAGCUUCGGCGAAGGUACGAAUUGAAGCCCCAGUAAACGGCGGCCGUAACUAUAACGGUCCUAAGGUAGCGAAAUUCCUUGUCGGGUAAGUUCCGACCCGCACGAAAGGCGCAACGAUCUGGGCACUGUCUCAACGAGAGACUCGGUGAAAUUAUAGUACCUGUGAAGAUGCAGGUUACCCGCGACAGGACGGAAAGACCCCGUGGAGCUUUACUGCAACCUGAUAUGGAAUGUUUGUACCGCUUGUACAGGAUAGGUAGGAGCCGAAGAGACGUGUGCGCUAGCAUACGAGGAGGCAAUGGUGGGAUACUACCCUGGCUGUAUGACCAUUCUAACCCGCCACGCUUAGCGCGUGGGGAGACAGUGUCAGGUGGGCAGUUUGACUGGGGCGGUCGCCUCCUAAAGAGUAACGGAGGCGCCCAAAGGUUCCCUCAGAAUGGAUGGAAAUCAUUCGCAGAGUGUAAAGGCACAAGGGAGCUUGACUGCGAGACUGACAAGUCGAGCAGGGACGAAAGUCGGGCUUAGUGAUCCGGUGGUUCCGCAUGGAAGGGCCAUCGCUCAACGGAUAAAAGCUACCCCGGGGAUAACAGGCUUAUCUCCCCCAAGAGUCCACAUCGACGGGGAGGUUUGGCACCUCGAUGUCGGCUCGUCGCAUCCUGGGGCUGUAGUCGGUCCCAAGGGUUGGGCUGUUCGCCCAUUAAAGCGGCACGCGAGCUGGGUUCAGAACGUCGUGAGA